GGCGGCGCGGCCCCGCGCGGUGGCAGCUGUCAGCGCGCCCGGCGCCGGCGGGCCUGCGCCCGAGCCCGAGCCCGAGCCCGGCGUUCUGGGGGCUGGCCGGCCCCACGCAGGCCGCCCGGAGCCCCGCGCCCUCCAUCCUUGCCCGGCUCCGCACUUUGUCCCCGGGCCUCGGCGGCCGGCAGCGAACCCCGCGUCCCACUCCUUUAGGGCGGCAGGCCUUCGGGCCCGGGGGGCGCGGGGCUGCCUUCGCUGCUGCCUUUUCCUUUUUAAUUAAACCGUCAGCUGAAGUUUUUGAAAUGGGACCCGCGCGGCCUCGUGAUCCGCUUGCACCGUGUCGGCUGCGUUUUACCCGGUCUCUGCGGGGGCACCCGUGUUUCUGUUCUCCCGGCGGGGCUGGAGGCCGGUGAUGAUCUGACAGGAUCGGGAGGUGGGGGACCGAGAAUGGGUUUCCAGACUCAGAGGAAAGGGAAGAAAAAGAGUUCCCUUGGAGGAGCUGAUGACUUGCUUCCCUGGGCAUGCACGUUUGAAAUUUUGACGAUUUAGAAGAUUGGGAUUUGUUUUUGAGUAAAAUUAGGCACGACGUAUAAGUAGGAAGCAUUGUCUUUUAAAUAAGCAUCCUCUCUUCUAAUCGUUGUUUAAGAUUUCUUGCGCAAGCUGAGUGUUUUAGUUAUCAGUUGUAUGACUUUUAUUUACUUACCUUAUGGAUGCCAGAUGAGUCCUUUUUGAAGUUAAAGUGUGAAAAAGAAGAUUUCUGAGUUAAGCUUUCUUUAGUGUACGGGCAGCUUCAAGAGGGAAGGCGAAUGUAUUAGUAUUUUGAUUUAUCAGCUUUUUCCCUUUGGAAGGUCUUGACUUCUUAGUAAUUUCUGCUUGUUUGCUUCUGCGAAGGAAGUGCCCAUGUGAGCGAUGUCAUUUCAUUUCAUUUCUCUUUGAUUCCCCCCUUCAACGUAAUACUUUAUAAGGUAACCUCAUUCAUGUUUGAGUGCAGUUUGUGAAUAUUGGGUGUUUACGUACAGAGAGACCUGGAAAGUAAGUCCAUGCUGUAGGAAUGCUCUUGAAGAAAUAGAACUGUAGCAUCUCAGAGCUGAAAUGGACCUUGGAGGUGGUUGGGUUCUCCUGCCUGCUUUGCCAGGUGGGCCCAGGAAGUUGAGGUUGACUUGUUAAAGGUCACACACUGUAAGUGACUGGAGCUCGGAGUAGAAUCUAGUGCUCUUCCUAUCUCAUCCCUGUAAGUAAAUCCAAAAGGAAUUUGAAUGAUGUUAGUGCAUUUUUCGUAUCAGUUUGUGGUCUAAGGUGCAUUUAAGGGAGGAGUGCGGGUGGUAAUCUGGUUCUUUUUCUUGUCUUGUUAGGACUUUUGGAUUGCUUUGGAGAAGUACUCCAGCUCUACUAAAAACAUACAGCAUUAUUCUAAAGGUGCCCUACUUUUAAAAAUUUUUUAUAACAUUCGAAAACAUUUGUGGAGUAAAAAAUUACUUGUGGGAAGCUGCCAUAUCCUUUUCAGAUGUCAUCUUUUGAGCAGGUGAUGGUUACUCACAUACUAAUAUCAUCGGACGUUCAUUUUUCAGGUCUGGUUCUAGUGGAGUGUGGGAAACAUGCGAUAGAGAAGAGACAAGUUCUGAGUCUGUCGUAGGCCUGGAGCCAUGUAAAAAAUGGCCAUAGAUAGCUAGUUUAGAACUGGCAGCACAGGCGUAUUCAUAUCAUUUACCAAAAUCAUUGAAAUACAACGAACUAUAUGAGCAGUUUCUCUUGAUGACGGUUGAAAACUGAAACCUGAAGCUUUUUAAGUGGCUAUCAAGUACUUUAUUGAAAGAAACAAUCCUUACAAGGCUAAAGAGAACAAAGCAGCAGCAUAUUGUGGUAAGGAGGUAGCUCUUGAACUCAUGAAAAAGUAGAUUCGUAUUGAGAUAGUCUAGGAUUUGAAAAUAUCUUAUCAUUUAUAGCUUUCACAACCUUUGGAGAAUUACUUUGACAUUUUGUCUGCAAUAUAUGUGCAGCGGUCUCUGGAACACUGAAACCUCAAUUGGCAUUUGCUCUGAGUGGUUAUUUGAGAGUGAGCGAAUUAUUUUGGUAACCUAAAAUCUGAAAUAGGAUUUAGAGGCAGCUGACUCAAUAUGCUUCUAGUGGACUGUUUUUACUCCUUUCAUUUUCAUUUUUUCUCUCGCUUUCUUUUAACAUAAGUCAAAGUAGUAACCAGAACAUAGUUACAUAAACUUAAAAAUACCCAAUGUUGGGGAUUCUUGCAGGAAUUUCAGUUUCAGACUUGAAAUUAAUCUAAUUUAGAUGACUAGUCAAACAUUUUGUGUUAUUGUCAGAGGACGUACAUUCCUAGAUGUAAACCUUAGGUUUAUAGUGCUGUCCAAUAGAAAUAUAAUGUGAACCACAUAUAAUUAAAAGUUUUCUAGAGGCCACAUUUGGGGGAAAAAAAGAAAACAGGUGAAAAAAGCGAAGGACACAUUUUUUCUUAUUCCAAGAUCCAGGCUGAAGGAGCAGUCCCUGUCUGCAGCGUGCUUUUCUAGUGAAAGUAAGAGCUGGAGGAAACCAGGAUUGCUUUUUCAGCUUCUUCUGGGAGGUGGCAUCUGUCACAUCUGCUCACAUCUAUUGGUCACAGCAAGUCAUGUGGCCAAGCUCAACAUCACUGGGAGGGGAUGUAUGUUCCUCUUCACAGGAAGCAUUGCAGGCCCCAUGGCAGUGGGUAGAGAUGUAGAAUUCUUUUAAGGAAGGGAGGUGAGUAUUUGGAAAGAAUAAUACAGUCUGCCAUAUUUCAGGGGUCAGGGAAUGUUUCCUGGGGGAAGUUACUUUUAAGUUGAGAUCUAAAGGAUGAUUAGAAUUUAGUUAGAUGAAGGAUAGGGGACUUGGUUUUUUGAAGAGUUUGUGAAUGUGAAAGUUCUUGAUUUUGAAAAAUUGGAACAAGUUUCAUAUGGCUGGAGUGAAGAAGUGGGAAGGGAGAUGGAAUUGCCUAGUCGUGAGAGAUACAGAAAAGGGCUGCAUCACACAGGUCCUUGUGAGAUGGGCUGAAGAGUGUGGACUUUGCCUUAAAUUUAGCAGAGGCUGUUGAAAAAUUUGAACAGGAAAGAAGCAGUCUUUUAGGUCAGAAAGAUCACUGUGGCUGCAGUGUUCAGAAUGGAUCUGCAGCCUUGAGACUAGCAGCAACAUAAUCUAGGUGAUAGAUAAUGGUAGUCUGAAUAAAUUUACCAGCCCUUGGGGUGGAUUUCAGAAAUAAAUUAGGUAGAUUUGACAGGAUUUGGUGUUUGAUUGGGGGAGGAGUCAUGGAUAAUAUUUUGGUUGUCACUUGGUUAGUGGUGUCAUUCUCUGAUUUAGAGAAUCCUGGAAGAAGAACAAGAGUUUAUUUCUCUUUGUUUGACUGAGAAUGGGGGGCAUGGGAAGCGAAGUAUUUAGUUUCAAUGUUUUUUUUUUUCUUUUUUUUGAGGAAGAUUAGCCCCUGAGCUAACUGCUGCCAAUCCUCCUUUUUUUGCCAAGGAAAACUAGCCCUGAGCUAACAUUGUGCCCACCUUCCUCUACUUUAUAUGUGGGAUGCCUACCACAGCAUGGCUUUUGCCUAGCGGUGCCUUGUCCGCACCUGGGAUCUGAACCGGCCAACCCUGGACCGCCGAAGCAGAACGUGCACACUUAACUGCUGCGCCACUGGGCUGGCCCCUAGUUUCGAUGUUCUUAUAUUGAGUUGCUGUGCAUAUUCAAAUAGAAAUGUCUGUAUUACUAGUGGAUAUAUGGGCCUGGAGUUCAGAGAGAGACUGAGCUGGUGAUAGAAAUUGUUAGCAUAUAGGUAGUAGUUGAAGUGGGAAUGGAUGAGGUCACCCAGAAUGAGAAUGCUAUGGUGAUAGCAGUGAUUUUACUUACUUAUUUUAUUUUAUUUUUUCUGAGGAAGCUUCGCCCUGAGCUAACAUCCGUGCCAGUCUUCCUCUGUGUUUUAGUAUGUGGGCCGCCAGCACAGCAUGGGGCUAACAGAGCGGUGUAGGUCUGCCUCCAGGAUCCCGACCCAGGCCGUCUAAGCCGAAUUUGCUGAACUUAACCAAUAGGCCACCGUGGCUGGCCCUGAUGGCGGUGGUUUUCAAAGAAAGGUGGGAAAGAUAUGUUUCAGGGGAAAAGGGACUUUCAUUGUUUGAAAAACUAUGAUCAAUUUAAAUAUAUUUUGUUUGAAAAAAGUUUCCCCUUUUUCUCUUCUUAAAAUAAUACAAAUCACAGGAAAUAAAGCUCAACAAAAUCUUGACUGGUGAAGUGAUUUUCAGUACUCUGGGAGCCAGAGGAUUGCUUCCCUGUGAACAUAUUUGUAUUUCAGGAGGCCUGAGGGCAAAUGAGAUUUUUAGGUACUCAAAAGAAGAAAUGGGUUUAAAAACAAACAAAAUUGAGGAAAAAGGAUGCUAGGGUGAGUAGCACAAAGGACUAGAGAAGACAGGAAUUACCAAUGAUGCCAAUUAAAAUGUUCUAAAAUCUUAUGACUGAGUGAGAAAUGAGAAUCCGAGGCUGGAUUUAGGAUCUGUUAUUGGAGUGGAAGGACUGAAUUGAGGAAAACAUAGAUGGUUGCAGUUAGGGACUGAAGAGAUGAAGAUGACUCUGAUUUCUGACUUGGGCACUAGGGCCAUUCAGUGAGGUUGGAAAUAUCUGUUAAGGAGCAAGUUUGGGAGGGGGGAGGGAUAAUAAGAGUAGAGUUUAUAAAAAGUUGGAUGUGAGGUAUCACUGAGGCAUCCAGGUGCUACCUGUCUUGUAUGUUGUUGGCUAUAUGGGUCUAGGUAUGAGGGGAAUAGACUGGGCAUCUUAUUCCUAUUUUUUAAAAUAACAGCUAAUAGUAAGAACUUAAUGUUCUCUCUUUAGGACAUCUUUGCUAAUCUCACAUUCUCUCUGAUUACACAGUGAAUUUCUUCAGUGUAGCUAAAUAAUGUAUUACAAUGUUAUCAAGCUUUUGAAUGUUUUAAUAAAUCCAUGUACUGAUUC